ACACGACUACAUUAGAUACCCGCGUAGUCCUAGCCGUAAACGAUACUCGCUAGGUGUCGGCCACGGUGCGACCGUUGUCGGUGCCGUAGGGAAGCCGUGAAGCGAGCCACCUGGGAAGUACGGCCGCAAGGCUGAAACAUAAAGGAAUUGGCGGGGGAGCACCACAACGGGUGGAGCUUGCGGUUUAAUUGGAUUCAACGCCGGAAAUCUUACCGGGACCGACAGCAACAUGAAGGCCAGGCUGAAGACUUUGCCGGAUUAGCUG
rnacentral:rRNA from 1 species